UUACGGCCAUAUAGUGUUGAAACACCGGUUCCCGUUCGAUCGCCGAAUUUAAACGACGUCGAACCUGGUCAGUAACUAGAAGGGUGACUUCUCGGGAACACCAGGUGCUGUAA